rnacentral:lncRNA from 1 species
AAACUAAGUAAACUUAACAGAAUGCAAUUUCUAUCACAUAUAUAAAGAAGAAAAUGAUAAUUUAACUAAUUUUUAACAGAUUUACAUGAUGAUAACACUAAUAUAACAUUCAUCUUGAAAUAAAAUCAGAUCUAACAUGUUCCAUCAACCAAACCGGGAUCAAAUCUUUCUUAUUAUCAUCAAGAAUCUGCAACAUAAGAAUUUGAAAGUUACCUGGUUUGUAGAAUAAUAAAAUACAGCAGUGCAGCAACAAAAAAUUCAGCAGCAAAUACAGUAAAAACAGCAACAACUCAAGUGUUAAGGCAACCCAGAAAACUCAACAAAGAUGCUUGAAACUGGUAGCUAUCAACUUCACAAAUUGCCUAAGGGAUCUUUCUAUUUUUCUCAAAGUUUUUGCACUCAAAUAAUACUCACAAAGCUCUGAAAUUUCAGCUUGCUAUAUGUAUUAAGCUGCUGAUUUUUCUUAAAGAUAUAUGUCUUUAAGCAACUCUCCAAGAUGUGUGUAAGUGUAAAAUCGAGUGUGAGCCCUUUUAUAGGAGAAGAGCAGCCCUUUAAAUAGGCAAAUAAAGUCAGAUUUUUUGGACAAAUUUUGGUUCACUAAAAGUCUGACUUUGUGUGCUAAACACUGUUCAAAAGCUGUAAAAAAAAUAUUGUAUUUGUCACCAUAUAAUGACUUUUGAGUUUUGUACUCUAAAGUUUUUGCACAGUAAAAACAACCAAACUUGUACUAUUCCUUCUUUAAUUUUAGCUUUUAUCAACAUAAAAUUCAAAUACUCAAAUCCAAUAUAAAUAAAUUCACUAAGCGCUUGAAACUUUUAUUAUCAACUAUCAUGACUAAGCGAAUAGCUAUUUCAAAGCUAAUAAAUAACUAAUUAUCAGUGAUUAAUAACUAUGAACGACUAAGCUAAUAUAGAUUAAACACAACUAAUAAUAAAAAUAUAAAUAAUAAUAACAAAAAUAAAAACAAAAAUCAUAAAUUAUGCUGGACAUAAACUAACCACAAUACAAUUAGUAAAAAUAGACAAAGGAAACGAGAAUAGGGGUAUACCAAACGAGGGCGUUCGUGGUGGUCGCCGGAAUUGGCCGGAUUUUUGGUUGCCGGUUUUUCGGGAUGGAAUUGACAUCAAUAGGUAGGUCUUGAGGGGCUCUAUCCGUUGAUGUAGGUAUUGUGGGGUGGUAGUGGCCGGAACUUCAAGAAUUUGGGCAAAAAAAUGACGGCUAAAGUUUCCUAGAUCUAAAAUUCAAGGAGUUUGAGGGGUUUUUAAAGGAUUUAGUUUGGAGAUAUAGAAAGAUGAGGUUGUGGAGAUUACAACGUGUGAAUUUGGGCUCAUUUGGAGGUUGGCUGCCGCCGGUGGGCGAUUUUCAGUGGGCGACAGCAGUGGUGGGGGAGGAUAUGGGAGAUAGAAGAGAGAGAGAGAAGAGAGAGGAAGAAGAAAAGAAUUAUGGGGAAAUGAGGGCAUUUU